rnacentral:rRNA from 1 species
ACUUGUUCUUUAAAUAAGGACUAGUAUGAAUGGCACCACGAAGGUUACACUGUCUCCUUUUUCUAAUCAGUGAAACUAAUCUCCCCGUGAAGAAGCGGGGAUAAACAUAUAAGACGAGAAGACCCUAUGGAGCUUUAAACCAUGCGACACUUGCACCAAUUUUGCACAAAUUUCAGAAAAAUCUACUCUACUUAUGCAAGAUGAUCGCCAGUUUUAGGUUGGGGUGACCGCGGAGCAAAAAACAACCUCCACAUUGAAAGGAACUUACUCCUCAGCUAAGAGCCACACCUCCAUGCACCAAUACAAUGACAUUAAUUGACCCAAUAAUUUGAUCAACGAACCAAGUUACCCUAGGGAUAACAGCGCAAUCCACUUCAAGAGCCCCUAUCGACAAGUGGGUUUACG